CCUACGGGAGGCAGCAGUGGGGGAUAUUGCACAAUGGGGGAAACCCUGAUGCAGCGACGCCGCGUGGGCGAAGAAGUAUUUCGGUAUGUAAAGCCCUAUCAGCAGGGAAGAAGAAAUGACGGUACCUGAGUAAGAAGCACCGGCUAAAUACGUGCCAGCAGCCGCGGUAAUACGUAUGGUGCAAGCGUUAUCCGGAUUUACUGGGUGUAAAGGGAGCGCAGGCGGCACGGCAAGCCUGAUGUGAAAGCCCGCGGCCCAACCGCGGGACUGCAUUGGGAACUACCGGGCUGGAGUGCCGGAGAGGUAGGCGGAAUUCCUAGUGUAGCGGUGAAAUGCGUAGAUAUUAGGAGGAACACCAGUGGCGAAGGCGGCUUACUGGACUGUAACUGACGUUGAGGCUCGAAAGCGUGGGGAGCAAACAGGAUUAGAUACCCAGGUAGUC
rnacentral:rRNA from 1 species